rnacentral:tRNA from 1 species
GCCGAUGUAGCUCAGUGGUAGAGCAACUGAUUCGUAAUCAGUAGGCCGUCGGUUCAAAUCCGAUCAUCGGCUCCA